UACUAACGCUGGCGGCGUGCCUAAUACAUGCAAGUUGAGCGAUGAAGAUUGGUGCUUGCACCAAUUUGAAGAGCAGCGAACGGGUGAGUAACGCGUGGGGAAUCUGCCUUUGAGCGGGGGACAACAUUUGGAAACGAAUGCUAAUACCGCAUAACAACUUUAAACAUAAGUUUUAAGUUUGAAAGAUGCAAUUGCAUCACUCAAAGAUGAUCCCGCGUUGUAUUAGCUAGUUGGUGAGGUAAAGGCUCACCAAGGCGAUGAUACAUAGCCGACCUGAGAGGGUGAUCGGCCACAUUGGGACUGAGACACGGCCCAAACUCCUACGGGAGGCAGCAGUAGGGAAUCUUCGGCAAUGGACGAAAGUCUGACCGAGCAACGCCGCGUGAGUGAAGAAGGUUUUCGGAUCGUAAAACUCUGUUGGUAGAGAAGAACGUUGGUGAGAGUGGAAAGCUCAUCAAGUGACGGUAACUACCCAGAAAGGGACGGCUAACUACGUG
rnacentral:rRNA from 1 species